AGCGAACGCUGGCGGCAGGCCUAACACAUGCAAGUCGAGCGCCCCGCAAGGGGAGCGGCAGACGGGAUAGUAACACGUGGGAACAUGCCCUUCAGUACGGAACAACCAAGGGAAACUUUGGCUAAUACCGUAUACGCCCGUAAGGGGAAAGAUUUAUCGCUGAAGGAUUGGCCCGCGUCUGAUUAGCCAGUUGGUGGGGUAAUGGCCCACCAAGGCGACGAUCAGUAGCUGGUCUGAGAGGAUGAUCAGCAUCACUGGGACUGAGACACGGCCCAGACUCCUACGGGAGGCAGCAGUGGGGAAUAUUGGACAAUGGGCGCAAGCCUGAUCCAGCCAUGCCGCGUGAGUGAUGAAGGCCUUAGGGUUGUAAAGCUCUUUCGUCAGGGAAGAUAAUGACGGUACCUGAAGAAGAAGCCCCGGCUAACUUCGUGCCAGCCGCCGCGGUAAUAC
rnacentral:rRNA from 1 species